rnacentral:lncRNA from 1 species
AAGAAAGCAGAGGGGAAGGUUGCUCUAAGUCAGAGCACAUGAAAGUGACAUCACAAAAUGCAUAUUCAUACAAAGGUACUAGAUGUAAAAGCAAGUGACUCACUACAAGCCAGGAAAAAUAUUUGCAUGUGAUGUGUAUAUAAGCACACACUAUAUACAUCCUAUAGGCAGCCACCUCGUAAACAACCUGUCUAGGAAACUGGCCACUUAUACCACCUCCACUCCCCAGGACCCUGGUCUCCCAGCAGGCAUCCUGUGGCCUCUCUCCUCUGCCAGCCCUCACUUCUCUCUGUAGCUGGUGUGGAAACUAUCCAAUGUGGACAGCGACUGCAUGCUCAAUAGACUCGUCUCCUUCGAUGUGGAACUGUGCAGAAGUUAUGGACUCAACCAGGUCUGAACUCCUUCAGAGUACACCAGAGGUAAGUGCUCCUACCGUACCGUGGAGAACUUUCAAACUCUGUUCUAUUUCUUGGCUAUGUGUGAACACCUGGUUGUUUGUGAAGAGAGGGGAAUGGACGUACUGUGAGUCAUGAGAUAGCCACGGCGCUGGAAUUUGAACCCUGGCGUCCUGACUCUGUGCCCAGCAAUUCUGCUUCUCCAUUCUGAGCCUUUGGUGCCCCGUAUACUGGUUUAUGUCGCUCUGAGAGUUCUGAAGGACAGGAGAGACAGCUUGGCUAGAAAGACAAAUCAGCAAUCCCCUGGCGUCCUAGGACAAGUUCUAUUCCUGGCUACUUUCCCCGCCCCCUGGUGGUUGACGUAACUGGAACCCCAGCUCCGCCCCAAGUAGGGGCCAGGCCCCUCCUCCGGACAAGUUUUAAACCAAAUUCUGUUUUCCGGGAUUGGCUAAACUUCAAAACAAAGGGGAGGAGAGAUACUUGCAGUAGGCACCCUCCAAACCUUAGGCAGCUGGCUGCUUUAUGGGUCCUGGACACGUGUCUGGCCACUGCGGUGCCUGGGGCUGCUAAAACCAACCCCCGGAUUGUGCCACCCAAGUAAUAAAACAGUGACUAUAUUGCAAGGGUGGCAUAAUCAUCGUCACAAUAACAGCUCUAAUUAUGCUAUAACUACCAUCUGCCUCCGCCCUAGCUUUUGCCCUGACUCACUCGACAGCACUCCAGCCGUCAGGAAAGAAACUGAGGCAGAGGUGGAGCCAGCAGGCUGUCAGAUCCAACCUCCCCGAUUUUUAACUUGUUGUCUGGGGUCAGCGCCGAAAGGUCAAACCCAGUUCAAUUCUGAUAUAAGCCCUUCACCUCCGGUUACUGUCCCUAAUCUCAGGCCACAAAGCCUUCCUACUGCCCCUAGAAGAGAAGCCGCUGGCAGUACGGGAAACUGGGUGCCGACUACAACUCCCCUUAGUCUUUGCGCUCAAGGCGCGCUUGCUGCCCUCGCCCCCGAAGCCACCUGUGACUCUCGCAUAGCGAUGCCUCUUGGGAAUUGUAGUUCGAACUCGCAUUCUUUAGCACUAAAUCUCAUAGCUGCGGACUCAGUAUCCCUUGAUGCCCUGCGGCUUUUUCUGACGCGACUAGGAGGACAGGGAAG